CUCAUUUACUAUAUCAUUCAACCGGUUAAACAUCGAGGAAACAUCUUCAUCCUUUUUCAUUGAGAAAUCACUAAACUUUCCCUUGUAUACAUAAAGUUUAGCUUCCUUCACGGUGGAUGUUCCCUCAUGAAUUUCCAUAAGGCCCCGUUUGGGUCCAAGGAAUUGGAAUCUAUUUAAUGGAGUAGGCUAAUUUAUGUUGGAAUGUGGCAUUCCACAACUUUCCAAAGUUUAGAUAUAAGCCUAUCUUAAAUUCAUGGGGUGGGAGAUGGAAAUUGAUUCUAUAGAUUAUGGUUAUUAGAUGGAAUUCAAUUCUUAUAGCACGCUCUUAGACUCACUUCUCUAUAGUAGAAGUGCAGCAUACAAGUAUCUCUCCCAUAUCACCAACUAUAAUAUACAACUAUAUUCCACAUACAAUUAUAUUAGCUUAAUUAAUUUGUGUCUAAAUUAUGAUUAUUAGGAUGGAAUUCAAUUCCAAUGAUCCAAACGGGACCUAAGCUUAUUCCAAAUAUCAUAUGCGGUUGUGAGAUUCUUGACCCGAUUGAACUCACUAAUGUCAAGAGCACCAUAUAGCACAUUCAUGGCUUGAUCAUUGAGUAGCUCAUUUGCUUCAUCGGCUUUACUCAUAUUCUUCUCAUCAAGAAUAAUAAAUCCCUCAUUCACAAUCCCCGUAUCUUCUUUCCAAUUGCCUUAAGAUGAACCAUCAUUCUUGUCUUCCAAUAAUCAUAAUUGUU
rnacentral:lncRNA from 1 species